CCCCACAUUUACAUUCAUUUUUCAUUUUUGGCUCCAAAAUAUCCAAUUUCAUAUGGAUAUACAGUAGUCCCCCUCUAACUCUAACUCUAACUCCCAAGGGAAAACAAAAUUUGUUUGAGUUAGCGAGGAGUUUGAGUUAAGUGGAGUAAAUUACUAUAAAAACAUAUCCAAGAGAAAUUGGAUUUAGUUCGAGUUAGCGGGGAGUUCAAGUUAAGCGAGUUCGAGUUGGCGGGGACUACUGUAAUACAUUAUACAUACAAAUAACAAUACGUUAUAAUACGUACUAUAAACACGUUAUAAUAUAAUUGUUAAACGUGGACUUUGUUUGGUUUUUGCAGAAAAUCAUCUAAGAUUUUGUUGGUAACUAAAUAAGCCCCCCCCCCCCCUCUAAUAAGCCCCCCUCAAAAGGACCUGAAUAGAAUAAGCCCCAUGGGGCUUAAUAUAGGGAGUUUACGGUAAUCAAAGUAUUAUUUAAGUUUGUAUGUAUAAAAAUAAAUAGAAUGUAUUUCAUAUAAUAUACCUUGUCAUCCUUAAUUUGUUUUCUUUUAUUUUUUUGUGGUAAGUCUAUAUCAACACCUUGGUGGCAGCAUGGAUAAUAAAUAAAUUAUUUUAUUAUUUAUUUUAUUAUCCAUGGUGGCAGUGAAAUUGCAUUGUCCCAGCUGACAGAAUAGGAAUCCCAUCAAAUUUACUGCAUAUCCCAUCGUUCAUGGCAGAUACUGACCACUUUAUUCUGCAUGCAUUCUUUGCCUCUUCGAUAAGUUUCUUCACAUCCAUCUCUAUAUUAAAAUCCAUCCAUAUAAAAAGGUCAUAUUAUCAUGUUAUAGUACAAAACAGUACAAAGUUAAAGUGCCUAUGCGACAAUUUUUUUAUGAUUGAAUUGCAAAGUUCAUUUAAAAUCAUAGUAGAACUUGUUUUCUAAAACUUUGUAAUCUUUCCUGUAUGUCAAGAUUUUCGAUUUUGUUUGAUAUACAAAUGUGACUUAAAUGACGUCACACUGCAUAAUGCGUUUUACAAAAGACUGUGUUGUAGCUUGUUAAAAUUCUCAUUAUCUCAAAUUUACAGAUGAAAUGAUCGCUUUGAUAGCUCUUAAAGUAUAUCACUUUCAAUGUCAGUGGAAUUAUCACAUGUUUGGUAAGGAAACGUUUUCUUUCUAAAAAUUCAUUAUGCAGUGUGACGUCAUUUAAG